rnacentral:rRNA from 1 species
AUUGAACGCUGGCGGCAGGCCUAACACAUGCAAGUCGAGCGGAUGAAGGGAGCUUGCUCCUGGAUUCAGCGGCGGACGGGUGAGUAAUGCCUAGGAAUCUGCCUGGUAGUGGGUGAUAACGUCCGGAAACGGGCGCUAAUACCGCAUACGUACUGAGGGAGAAAGUGGGGGAUCUUCGGACCUCACGCUAUCAGAUGAGCCUAGGUCGGAUUAGCUAGUUGGUGGUGUAAAGGCCUACCAAGGCGACGAUCCGUAACUGGUCUGAGAGGAUGAUCAGUCACACUGGAACUGAGACACGGUCCAGACUCCUACGGGAGGCAGCAGUGGGGAAUAUUGGACAAUGGGCGAAAGCCUGAUCCAGCCAUGCCGCGUGUGUGAAGAAGGUCUUCGGAUUGUAAAGCACUUUAAGUUGGGAGGAAGGGCAGUAAGUUAAUACCUUGCUGUUUUGACGUUACCAACAGAAUAAGCACCGGCUAACUUCGUG